UCUUCUGCUUUGCUCGGUAAGCUUUUCAGUAGCUAGAACUUCUCCUCUAUUGCACAAACAAUUGACUUGGACUCAAAGCUGAGAUUCUCCACUAUUUGAGGAUAUAUAUAUUGAGCAACAAAAUUAGCAAUGAGGUUGCGAUGUGUUCCUUCCAAUUCAGUCAGUAAGCAUUGGUGCUCAACCACUCUAGCCACCUCCCAGUAAUCCUUCCACUUCCCCUUGUAUGCGUGCACCCUAAACGGACAAUCAUUUCUCACACAGCGGACAUCAUACACUGUUAGGUUGCUCUUCUCCACCCUGAACUAAUGCUGCAAAGAUAAAGUGGACCAUCGCUUCAUAGCUGCCUUCACCUCAUCCCCACUAGGGUACAAAGCACCCAAUGGACAUAAGUUGACCAGUUCCGCAGAAUAGGGUAAGCAUCUUUCUCAUCCGACGAGUCAUCAUCCAUGAUACUAUUGGCCUCCUCUCCUUCCCUCUCCACCUGCUCAACUAACUCAGCAAUUUCUUCCCCUUCAUCAGCCUCCCCAUUUGGCUCAUGGGCUGCAACAUCAUCCUCUACAUCUCCCCCUUCUGCUCCAUCAUCAUCACCUUCUUCAUUUGCCCCAUCAGUACUCUCCACAUCUUCCUCGGCUUCAACUUUAGCACCUCCCACUUCUUCUUCCAUCUGACUGUUAGACCCAGCCUUCGUGAACAGUUGAACAUACCAUAUGAGCGGUAAACCGCGUCUCGUGCAAACUUUUACGUAAGCCUAGUAGCUCGGGGUUCCUUCAAGCCGGAGCCACUCCCAAAAGUUUAUGUCAGGCCGUCUCUUCACUACAACCCUCACAGACACAUCGACUUGAUUUCUAUCAACACCGAAAUCCUUACAAAGCCACCUGCAUAUGCCCCCAAGUCCUCUCUCUUGCUCUUGGUAAAUACCUGCACAAAUACUGAAAUCCACUCAAAUCUACCCCUUCUGGACCAUAUCUAACCUCCCCCAGACCAUAGAACACUUGGAAAUAUAAACUAUCCGACAUGCCUGCCAAUAUACAUGAAACAAGGUGUCCAAGUUACUCUCAAUAACUUAAAUCAGUGAACUAGAACGACACUUUCAUUUCAAUAAACGGUGGAAUCAUUUAUUUCUAUCAUCGACACUAACAACUAUUUAAGAGUAAACCAACCUUAAGAACUAAUUCAUUUCAUUUUACUCGGUCAAUAUACAUGAUACUAUCAUAGUCAUUUACAAAAUAUACGUGAUACUACCAUAAGCAAUUACCCGGUCAAUAUACGCGACAAGCAUAAAAGUUCUAACUAAAUCUAAUAAUAUAACCAUAGCAUUUGAAAUAAAAUUCAUCUAAAUUUAAUAUACCUAAAUCAACAACCUAAUUUAACUGUCAACUAAAUCCCUAAGCUAAAUUCACUAAACUAUCUAACCUACAUUUUCUUAUGUCUCAAAUCCACUAGACUAAUUAAACUAACUACUACAUUUAUCUAAACUACUAAAUUUAUCUACUUCUAGAUCUAUUCACUAAACUAACUAAACUAGGGGAUUACAAAAAAUACCUGUAACGACGCGAGGAAUGGGCCUUCAAUCUCACCUCCCUCCCUUUCUUUUUUUCUUUCUUUCCUUCUCCCUCCCUUCCUUUCCCUUCCUUUCUUCUCCUCUCCCUCUCCUCCCCUCCCUUCC
rnacentral:lncRNA from 1 species